CACACUAUCAUUAACUGAAUCCAUAGGUUAAUGAGGCGAACCGGGGGAACUGAAACAUCUAAGUACCCCGAGGAAAAGAAAUCAACCGAGAUUCCCCCAGUAGCGGCGAGCGAACGGGGAGGAGCCCAGAGCCUGAAUCAGUGUGUGUGUUAGUGGAAGCGUCUGGAAAGGCGCGCGAUACAGGGUGACAGCCCCGUACACAAAAAUGCACAUAUUGUGAGCUCGAUGAGUAGGGCGGGACACGUGGUAUCCUGUCUGAAUAUGGGGGGACCAUCCUCCAAGGCUAAAUACUCCUGACUGACCGAUAGUGAACCAGUACCGUGAGGGAAAGGCGAAAAGAACCCCGGCGAGGGGAGUGAAAAAGAACCUGAAACCGUGUACGUACAAGCAGUGGGAGCCUCUUAAUGGGGUGACUGCGUACCUUUUGUAUAAUGGGUCAGCGACUUAUAUUCUGUAGCAAGGUUAACCGAAUAGGGGAGCCGAAGGGAAACCGAGUCUUAACUGGGCGUUAAGUUGCAGGGUAUAGACCCGAAACCCGGUGAUCUAGCCAUGGGCAGGUUGAAGGUUGGGUAACACUAACUGGAGGACCGAACCGACUAAUGUUGAAAAAUUAGCGGAUGACUUGUGGCUGGGGGUGAAAGGCCAAUCAAACCGGGAGAUAGCUGGUUCUCCCCGAAAGCUAUUUAGGUAGCGCCUCGUGAAUUCAUCUCCGGGGGUAGAGCACUGUUUCGGCAAGGGGGUCAUCCCGACUUACCAACCCGAUGCAAACUGCGAAUACCGGAGAAUGUUAUCACGGGAGACACACGGCGGGUGCUAACGUCCGUCGUGAAGAGGGAAACAACCCAGACCGCCAGCUAAGGUCCCAAAGUCAUGGUUAAGUGGGAAACGAUGUGGGAAGGCCCAGACAGCCAGGAUGUUGGCUUAGAAGCAGCCAUCAUUUAAAGAAAGCGUAAUAGCUCACUGGUCGAGUCGGCCUGCGCGGAAGAUGUAACGGGGCUAAACCAUGCACCGAAGCUGCGGCAGCGACACUAUGUGUUGUUGGGUAGGGGAGCGUUCUGUAAGCCUGUGAAGGUGGCCUGUGAGGGUUGCUGGAGGUAUCAGAAGUGCGAAUGCUGACAUAAGUAACGAUAAAGCGGGUGAAAAGCCCGCUCGCCGGAAGACCAAGGGUUCCUGUCCAACGUUAAUCGGGGCAGGGUGAGUCGACCCCUAAGGCGAGGCCGAAAGGCGUAGUCGAUGGGAAACAGGUUAAUAUUCCUGUACUUGGUGUUACUGCGAAGGGGGGACGGAGAAGGCUAUGUUGGCCGGGCGACGGUUGUCCCGGUUUAAGCGUGUAGGCUGGUUUUCCAGGCAAAUCCGGAAAAUCAAGGCUGAGGCGUGAUGACGAGGCACUACGGUGCUGAAGCGACAAAUGCCCUGCUUCCAGGAAAAGCCUCUAAGCAUCAGGUAACAUCAAAUCGUACCCCAAACCGACACAGGUGGUCAGGUAGAGAAUACCAAGGCGCUUGAGAGAACUCGGGUGAAGGAACUAGGCAAAAUGGUGCCGUAACUUCGGGAGAAGGCACGCUGAUAUGUAGGUGAAGCGACUUGCUCGUGGAGCUGAAAUCAGUCGAAGAUACCAGCUGGCUGCAACUGUUUAUUAAAAACACAGCACUGUGCAAACACGAAAGUGGACGUAUACGGUGUGACGCCUGCCCGGUGCCGGAAGGUUAAUUGAUGGGGUUAGCGGUAACGCGAAGCUCUUGAUCGAAGCCCCGGUAAACGGCGGCCGUAACUAUAACGGUCCUAAGGUAGCGAAAUUCCUUGUCGGGUAAGUUCCGACCUGCACGAAUGGCGUAAUGAUGGCCAGGCUGUCUCCACCCGAGACUCAGUGAAAUUGAACUCGCUGUGAAGAUGCAGUGUACCCGCGGCAAGACGGAAAGACCCCGUGAACCUUUACUAUAGCUUGACACUGAACAUUGAGCCUUGAUGUGUAGGAUAGGUGGGAGGCUUUGAAGUGUGGACGCCAGUCUGCAUGGAGCCGACCUUGAAAUACCACCCUUUAAUGUUUGAUGUUCUAACGUGGGCCCCUUACCGGGGUUGCGGACAGUGUCUGGUGGGUAGUUUGACUGGGGCGGUCUCCUCCUAAAGAGUAACGGAGGAGCACGAAGGUUGGCUAAUCCUGGUCGGACAUCAGGAGGUUAGUGCAAUGGCAUAAGCCAGCUUGACUGCGAGCGUGACGGCGCGAGCAGGUGCGAAAGCAGGUCAUAGUGAUCCGGUGGUUCUGAAUGGAAGGGCCAUCGCUCAACGGAUAAAAGGUACUCCGGGGAUAACAGGCUGAUACCGCCCAAGAGUUCAUAUCGACGGCGGUGUUUGGCACCUCGAUGUCGGCUCAUCACAUCCUGGGGCUGAAGUAGGUCCCAAGGGUAUGGCUGUUCGCCAUUUAAAGUGGUACGCGAGCUGGGUUUAGAACGUCGUGAGACAGUUCGGUCCCUAUCUGCCGUGGGCGCUGGAGAACUGAGGGGGGCUGCUCCUAGUACGAGAGGACCGGAGUGGACGCAUCACUGGUGUUCGGGUUGUCAUGCCAAUGGCACUGCCCGGUAGCUAAAUGCGGAAGAGAUAAGUGCUGAAAGCAUCUAAGCACGAAACUUGCCCCGAGAUGAGUUCUCCCUGACUCCUUGAGAGUCCUGAAGGAACGUUGAAGACGACGACGUUGAUAGGCCGGGUGUGUAAGCGCAGCGAUGCGUUGAGCUAACCGGUACUAAUGAACCGUGAGGCUUAACCUU
rnacentral:rRNA from 2 species